CAUAUAUAUGUAUAUACAUUAAUUUUUUUUUAUUUUUUUUACUAUAUAUUUUGAUAGUAAUGAUACGAAUGUAAAAGUGGGCAUAUUUUGAUAAUUAAAAUGAAAUAUGUGUAAAUUAUAAUAAAUUCCAUUAAAUGGGCAUUAUGGGAAUUAUAUAUUAUAAGAUGCAUACAUAUAUAUAUCUAUAAACUUAUUAUGGUUUUAAAAGUAAAAGGAUUAUAUGUAUAAGGAUAAGAAAUGUUAAAUAAAUUAAAAAGUAUAAAAUUGUAUUUUUAUAGAUAGAUUUAUAAUCUAAGAAUAAUAUGUGAACGAAUUAGAUAAUAUAAUAGGGUUGAUUGAAAGAACCUAGAAAAAAUAAGAAAACACAGAUUUAAUAUUAUAGAUGAUAGAGUUAUAUUGAUUUUACUAGAAGAAAUAAAGAUUUUAUUGAAGUAAAUUAAAAUAAAAAAGAAUGAAUUGUAUUAAGUUAAAAACAAUUGUAUCUAACAAUAAAAACAUAGCUCUAAAGAAAAAUUACUUUAAGAGUCUUUAAAUCUUAAAUAUAAAUUACACCUUAUAACAUUUGAUGAAGAUCAAAAAAACAAUAUGAUGUAUUUAAAAUAUAUUAUUAUCUUGAAGAAGAUUUCAGAAAAAACAAAAAUAACCUUUUAAGUUAGCACUCAGAAGCUUAAAAGAAAAGAAUAAGAUAAUAUUAUAAUAUUAUAAUACCUUAAAAUAACUAUAAAAAUGAGAUUUCUUUAUUUUUUUAUAUCAAGACGUAAAAUUGCUUGUACAAGAAAUAAACUGGAAUAAUAAAAAUAAAAUAAAUAACUUUAGAACGUCAAAUACUAGAGUUACUUUUUAUUUGUCUCAAUAUAUAUGAAUUUUUUAUGAACUUACCUGGUAAAUAUAAAUUUAAAAUUGAAGAUUACGAAGAAGAGGAAGAUGAAGAUGAAGAUGAAGAUGAAGAACAUUUAAAAAGAAGGUUACCAUUAAGUAUUGUUAAUAUAUAUAUAUAUAUAAUAUGAUGUAUGAAGAAAGGAAAUGGUAUUACAACAUAAAUAAAACUUAGAAGACAAAAAUGAAUAAAAAGGUGUAGAACAAAGAGAAGUUUUAAACAUCUUGAGUAUAUCAAAAGAUAUAAGAUAAUUGAAACAGAAAUGUAUACAUAUAUAUGGGUAUGUUAUAAUUAAAUGAAAUCCAGAAAAAACAAAAUGAUGUACUCAAAGAUGUCUUAAAUAAAUAUGGAUAUGCAGAACAGCAUGAUAGUUUUUUUUUUUUUUUUUUUUGUAUAUACCAAUUCAACUAAUGGUUUUAUAUAAGAACAGAACUGACAUUUAAAAGGAAACGUUAAAAUAUAUAUAUCCAUAUAUGAAAGAAGAAGCUUUAUUUUUAAUUUAUUUUUUAUAUAUACCAAUGUCUAAAUGGUUUAUAGAAGAAAUGAACUGAGAUUAAAGUAAAGAAAGCUCAAAAAAAAAAAAAAAAAGGUAUUAUAUAAUAGACGAAGUGUAUUAUGAUGUAUAGAAGAACACAUUAUAAAAACUAUAAUAAGGCAAAUUCAGAACAAAAAAUGCCUCAGAAUUAAGGAAGCCAUAUAAUUCAGAUAGGAUAAUCUGAGAAUUGACAAAACAGAAAAAGGAAAUAAUUAUAUAUAUAUAAUGUGAUAGAGAAAGAAUAACUGUGUAUAAAAGGUUAUUUGCAAUAAGACUUUUUUAAGAUAUGUUAUUAGAUACAUAUAAUAUUGUUAUGCACAGAACAGCAUAUAUGGAAUGUGUAUCGAAAUAUAAAAAGUUCAUAAAGAAAAUUGUAUUGUUAAAUAGAAUCACACAAUAUAUGAUAUUGAAGAAAAACAGAAUGUUAUAAGGAAAAUACACAUAAGCAAUAUAAAUGAAUUGAAGAAAAACAACACAUUUUUGGAAAUUGAGAGAAGAGUAUAUAUUUAGAAAAUUUAUUAUAUUCUAAACCCCAAGAAUAUUAUUGGAAAUUCUAAAUAUAUAUAUAUAUAUAUAUAUUUAUAUAAGCCUUUAUAUAGAUAUGAAAUUUUUUUAUACUAUAUACAAAUCCCCUCAUUGUGUAUAAUAUAAAGAACGUUUUUUAUUUAUAUUGGUAUACAAGAUUCUAUGGAAGAUUAAAUGUUAUGAAGAAAAAUAGUAUAUAUAUUUAAGAAAUAUUGCCCUUAAAAGUUUUAACUUAAUAUUGUUUUGCCAAAACUUUUAAUUUAUUUUUAUAUUUCUUAAAAAAUAUAGUUUUAAUCGUGUGUCUUAAAAGUAUAUAUUGUUAAUCAUGUUUUUUGAAGGAAUAUAGAUUUCUUUUAAUGUCCCUGAAAAGAUUUAAUACGAUCAGUAUUUUUUUGAGGAUAUAGUUUAUUUUGUUGAUGUACUUUUGAAUAUAUAUAGUUUUUUUAAUAUUUUGGAAAGAUUUAAUAUAUAAUCCUUUCACAAUUUUAUAAAGGCACUACAUUAUUUUGUGUUUCUUAGAUUAUAUAAUUUUUUUAAUGUUUUCAUGUUUUUUCAUAAUAAUUUAUGCAUAUAUUUUUUUAGUUUCUACUGUUCACUAAUUCAUUCGUUGAACUUGUUUAUAGUAAAUGUUUUUAUAUAUACAAUAAAAAAAAAAAAAAAAAAGUAAAAAAUAAAAAGUAAAAAAUUAAAAAUAAAAAGUAAAAAAUAAAAAGUAAAAAAUUAAAAAUAAAUUAUUCAUAUACAUUAUACUUCUUUUUUGUAUACAUAAUAUUUUAUUAUUAUACAUAAUAUUCUAUUCUUAUACAUAGUCUUUUUUUCUUAUACAUAGAUUUUUUGUUUAUACAUAGUCUUUUUUUCUUAUACAUAGACUUUUAUUGUUAUACAUAGAU